rnacentral:tRNA from 1 species
GGGCUUGUAGUAUAGUGGAUAGUACGGCCGGCUUCGGACCGGCUAACCGGGGUUCGAAUCCCUGCAAGCCCA